GGGGAAUGCGUUUUCCUAAGUCUCAUGGAAGGGCUUGCAUAGCUUAGAGCUCAGCCUCGGAGCGGACUAGCACACAGCUGUUUUGGAGACUGGAGGAUAGCCUGCUGGGAUAGAGAUAUCCCUGGAAGAUACAGAGCUGGCAGAAUCAAUUUGUGAACCACAUUUGAUCCCCUCAGUUCAAUUACUGCAGAAGCUGCUUCCUGGCUCAGAGUAAGUGUGAAUCCCUGUGGCAGAAAUGAAGGCAUUGUUCGUAUACCACCUCAGCCUCUCCUCUGGACUACUGAGAAUUUAAAUUUCAGAGACAAAGUGAGCAACCUAACUUUCAUUUCCAAUAACUGUAUCCUCUUUUCUUUCUUCCAAAUUUGUAUGCUGUGCUGCCAAGAGAGAUUUUUAGAACAACUCCC
rnacentral:lncRNA from 1 species